rnacentral:rRNA from 1 species
AACGAACGCUGGCGGCAGGCUUAACACAUGCAAGUCGAGCGCCCCGCAAGGGGAGCGGCAGACGGGUGAGUAACGCGUGGGAAUCUACCCAUCUCUACGGAAUAACGCAUGGAAACGUGUGCUAAUACCUUAUACGUCCUUCGGUAGAAAGCUUUAUCGGAGAUGGAUGAGCCCGCGUUGGAUUAGCUAGUUGGUGGGGUAAAGGCCUACCAAGGCGACGAUCCAUAGCUGGGCUGAGAGGAUGAUCAGCCACACAGGGACUGAGACACGGCCCAGACUCCUACGGGAGGCAGCAGUGGGGAAUAUUGGACAAUGGGCGCAAGCCUGAUCCAGCCAUGCCGCGUGAGUGAUGAAGGCCCUAGGGUUGUAAAGCUCUUUCACCGGUGAAGAUAAUGACGGUAACCGGAGAAGAAGCCCCGGCUAACUUCGUGCCAGCCGCCGCGGUAAGAC